rnacentral:lncRNA from 1 species
AGCACAGUGAGGUCAGCACCCAAGUUCCCCCAGACACUCCUUUGCAAAGGCAGAGGGGUCCCAGGCCUGCCUGUGCAGAGGGCUGCCCCAGAGGCUGAAACCCAGUGAUUAAGAACCCCUGCUGGACCUGAAUAAAUACAAUGCCUUACAUACCAGAUGGACAACGUGGAUGCUGUUUUUCAUCUGCUGACAGUUAUCGCCGGGUUUUCCGGACGUGGACUGUCAGCCCGUGACUAAAGAAUAACCGGGGCGGGCCCGAGGGCGCGGCGAAGCCCUUGAGGUCUCUCAGGGUGAGCGCCCCUGGGUGGAGUUCCGAGGGGCCCGGGCGUAGGCGGCCGUCACCGCCGCGGCGAGCCGCGGAAUGUCCUGCCUGUGAGCUCCCUCGCCUGGACGCGAUGGAAGCCUGGCGGGGACCGGGGACCGCGCCGUCUUCCUGCCCGGGGGCGGGUGGGCGUAGUACCCGGCGCCGCGAUGGCGGUGGCGCUGUCGGGUCGCGCUCUCAACCCGCCCCGGGCUCCGGCGGGGUGGCGCCAGGCUGGAGGCCGUGGGAUUCCCGGACACCCUCCCCUUCCACAGUGGCUGGAGGAUUGAAGCCGAGACAGUGGCGAGAGGGGCGCACAGCCCAGCCCAUUCCCCAUCCCUGACGACUCCAGGACGAUCCCCUUCCCGGCUCCUUAUUCAUUCCCUGAGAUGCUCAAAGACCUGAUUUCCACUUUAACAUCCAAAUUUGGUGGGUUCUAGGAGGCCUGGGCUGGCUCAGUCCAGGGGCUGUUGACUCAUAUAACAACAGUAUCUGGCACACAGUAGGUAUGUGUGCAUCUGUUGAAUAAAUAAAAUAUUUGAACUGU